rnacentral:rRNA from 1 species
UACGUAGGGGGCGAGCGUUGUCCGGAUUUAUUGGGCGUAAAGAGCUCGUAGGCGGUUCGAUAAGUCGGACGUGAAAUCUCUACGCUCAACGUGGAGGGGCCGUUCGAUACUGUCGUGACUCGAGUCCGGUAGGGGAGUGUGGAAUUCCCGGUGUAGCGGUGAAAUGCGCAGAGAUCGGGAGGAACACCCGUAGCGAAGGCGGCACUCUGGGCCGGUACUGACGCUGAGGAGCGAAAGCGUGGGGAGCAAACAGG